rnacentral:lncRNA from 1 species
UGCACCCCCUCUUUUAGGAGCUGCUUUCAUCUCUGCUCCCGUUCCUGGGGGUUUCCCCAGCCCCUUCCAGGCUGACGGGUCGCCUUUCGGUGGGUUCAACGUUGCCAAAGCUUCCACCAACCCCUUCGUGACCCUCCCGACCCCGGCGGCGCCGCUCGGCCUCAGGCACCGGACCACCAACCCCUUCCUAUGACGGCCGCUGCUCCGCCUCUCCCGCCGGGACCAGGUUUUGGUCUCAGCCGCUGACCCGAGUGUCACAAAGGGACAGGGAUGUACCAAGUGUAAUUUUGGGGGGGAUUUCCAUACUUGGAGAAAAAAAAAAUCAUUAUUUUAUUUAAUUAGAGUGACAACCGCAUAAUAGUUAAAUAUAAUAAUUUUAAUAAUAAUUAGUU